rnacentral:lncRNA from 1 species
GUGAGAGAAUGCUCGUUCAUUUCUAAAGAGGGAUAGUCUUUUCUCAUAAUCAGAGUUCUUGGGAAUGCCCGCUCUGAGACAACUCAAAUUUGUCAGAAGAUUGCUUGCAGAAUGUGGAAUCAAAACCAUGAUUGUUGUCUGACUUUUUGUUUCUUUCGUUAGACUAUGGAACAGUCUGGAACACGUACCUCUGCUAUAGCAGCAAUGAUUACAUUCAAUAUCCAUUCUACAAAACUUAUCACGUGAAUGUUAUGAGCCUAGCACUGUAUCAGGAUGACAAAAAGGAGCCAUCUCUCCAUUUGAAGGCACAUAUGUUGAUUCUCCCUUUGGAGCUCACCAUGAGACCCAAUAAAUUAACCAGCUCAGUUCAGAGACUUCUGUCUACUUGCGUUUCGGAAGGCUGUUACCCAUACGUAAACCAACCCUGCAUCUUCACUCUUCAAUGGGUAGCUACCUGUGUUAAGCAAUUCCACCAUUAAAAUCUCAAACUUGUACUCACCUGAAAAGUCAGCAAUAUGGAAGUAAGCAGGUAGCUUUACAAGACCCAGCCCAGUGAAGGUGAGCAGUCUAGAGCCAAAAUUAGAACCCAGGAAAUUUAAAGGUGUGCAUACUAAGUGACCUAGCAGUUGGACUCUUAUACAUAUCCUCAAAGUGCCCAAGGUGACAGCGUACAAACGUUCAUGAAAUGACAAAAAAUUGGAACCAGUCUACUUAUCUAUGAAGAAAAGAAAAUAAGAAAGGAUAAAUAAGUGGUGAUAUGUACAGCAGCAAAAACGAACUAGAAUUACAUAUAUUAAUGUCCAGAAACCUCAAAAAUAUGUUGAGUAUGUGGCUGGCCCCGUGGCCGAGUGAUUAAGUUCACGCAUUUCACUUCAGUGGCCCAGGGUUUCACUGGUUCAGAUCCUGGGUGCGGACAUGGCACUGCUCAUCAGGCCACGCUGAGGCAGUGUCCAACUAGAAUAUGCCACAACUAGAAGGACCUACAAGUAGAAUAUACAACUAUGUACUGGGGGGCUUUGGGGAGAAGAAGAGGAGAAGAAAAAAAAAGAAGAUUGGCAACAGAUGUUAGCUCAGGUGCCAAUCUUUAAAAGAAAAAAAUAUGUUGAAUAAAAAAAGCAGGGUGCAGAAUAACA